UCCCUGAUGGUUAAGACAGUAAAUAAUCUGCCUGCAAUGCAGGAAACCCGGGUUCGAUUCCUGGGUUGGGAA
rfam:Ovis aries breed Texel chromosome 3, whole genome shotgun sequence.